ACGAACGCUGGCGGCUGCUUAACACAUGCAAGUCGAACGGAGUGGCGAACGGGUGAGUAACGCGUGAGCAACCUGCCUAUGACCGCGGGAUAGCCUCGGGAAACCGGGAUUAAUACCGCAUAGUCAUAGAUGGGCUCGCGUCUGAUUGGCUAGUUGGUGAGAUAACAGCCCACCAAGGCGACGAUCAGUAGCCGGUAUGUGAGGAGCAACGGCGACUUUGGAACUAGGACACGGUCCAAACUCCUACGGGAGGCAGCAGUGGGGAAUAUUGCACAAUGGGGGAAACCCUGAUGCAGGGACGCCGCGUAAACGCAGAAGGUAGUCGUAUCGUAAAGUUCGGUCCUAUGGGAAGCAGUACCAUAGAAGAAAGCUCCGGCUAAAUACGUGCCAGCAGCCGCGGUAAUAC
rnacentral:rRNA from 1 species